rnacentral:lncRNA from 1 species
UUUUUUGCAUAAUGACCAGUGCACUCUAUCAUGUCUGACUUUGUAAUCUGUGCAAUCUUUGAACAUUCGCAUAUGAGGUGUCACACAUUUUCAUCUUUUUCUUGGCAGAGUCAACAUUUGCUGUGAGCACUAACUCCUCGGAUCAUAGCUUUCAUCAUGUUGGUUUGGAGUGCUUGUUCUUGUGCAGCAAAAAUCAAGCCUUCAGUUUCUUUCUUAAGGGUCCCCAGUUUUACUCAUGAUGAUGAUGAUGAUGAUGAUGAUGAUGAUUGGCAGAAAAAGGAGGAGACAGCAUUUCAGCGCAAUAUAUGUUUAAAAGGUGGACAAAACUAGAAUAUAACUUAGAAAAUUCUCUCUUCAGUUUCAUAGCUCAAGGAAAAAGAAACCGAAAGACUUUUUCUCCAAGAGAGCAGUUGAUUACGAAAAUCCACACUGCUGAAGUAGCGACAUCUGCCAGCAUAAAGUGUUGCAUUAUCCAUAAUUACACACCUGACCCUGUGGAACCAGAAAAUUAAUAGCGCCAGCAAAGCUGAUUCAAAAUCACCAUUCUAAUGGGUAGCAAAACAAAUAAUAUCCAAUAUGGUAUGAGAGUUGUCUGAGCUGAUUGGAGCUCUUUGAUUAUACCAAGUCUGCUUCUGGACCUUAUUUUGGGGCGGGGGGGAGUGUCCCUAGACCAUCUAGUUUAGCAACUAAUCUAUCACCAGCAUGCUCUAGUUAGCACUGAUUUGUUGUUACAUGAAAAAUCCAGGAAGAACAGAGCCAGGCGUAGAUUGGUUUUCAUUGUAAGAGGAGAGGUGCAUUGGUGCCAAGGUAAUCUUGGCAUAAAAAUGGGAAUCACUGAAGACAAUCAUUAGCAUCCUGCAUGUCAGAUCUAAAGCAAUACUGAAUGCCUUCCACUGCCUCUUCAUACUGAAGGCUAUCAAUGCUUUAGGGUUUCCCUCCUGACCUUUGAUUCAUUUCUCUGCACAUGUACUAAUUUAGAGCUGCAGAUCUAUGCCACAUUGAAUAGGAUUCCCACA